AGUUGGGCCAUGACAAGCUGUUGCAUGGAAAGGCCCAUGAGCUGCACAUGGAGGUCCAUUUUGUCAAGUUAAAACCCAGUGAACCGAAUCGAAGGUGAACCGGGUUGAGAGGAGGGUUAGAGGCUACUUUUGGAAUGUUAUAUAUAUUGUUGACAUAUCCUGCUGCCUCAUACUCCAACCCUCAACAUUCGACUCCGCCUUUCAUCGGCCUGAUUUUGAGUGAUCAAAUAGGGCACCGCCUCCUCCCAGGGAACUAUUCAGGAAUGAGUUGAUUUGAGGAGCUAUUUGGAGAUGGAGAUGACAAAUACGAUUGAAAGAUUUUUUCAUUUUGAAAUUUUAAUGCAUCAGCUUGGUUAGCUAUCUAUUGAGCAAAUGUGUUAACUCAUUUGCAGGUUUUGGAUGGUGCACCGAUCCGCCACAUCAUGCAUAUAUAUAUAGAUAUAUAUAUAUAUACAGAAAUCAGUAAGAAUAUAUCAGGCAAAUAGAUUGAGAGAAAUAGAGAAAGGGCAGCUCCUUAAGGCAGCAAAGGGGAGAGAUUGGAUCCUAGAUGAUUAUCCAUAACUCAACCCUAUCGAUUCACCAUGUCAUUUACAAUGUUGUGGGAAUCAACCUCCUAGAACAACAGAAUCUCAUGUCUUCACUUUGCCACUUUCAUCAACAAUGUGGGAAUCAACCAUGGACAACAAUAAAAUCUCAUGCCCACUUGCCUUAGCGCCAUCCUCGCCCUUCUUACUUUCAUUGUUCCACUACUCAUCAACCUCACUGAUUUAAAGUUUUGGAAAGAGGCUGACUCUGUAUUUCAAGUCCACCCCAUAAACACCAAGGUGGUUGUUCUUAGCUUACUAGCAUUUCUCUUGGCAUUCGGAAUUGAGUUAACCUUCCAUACUUGUCAUCUCUCUCCUACUUGUGCUGCUCUCCUCCAUACUACCAUGGUGUUUUCCGGUUCCUUCUCAUUGGCAUCGCUCUUGUUUCCUGGUGCAUUAUGGCCCCUUCUAUUUGUUCACUGGUGCAUUAUUAGCAACGUGCAAAACCUAGUCCAGUAAUGGUAUCACCUGGUUCACCGUAGAAUCAUGUACAACCUUGAGACUGUAUGAACAGGAAAAGGCAAAAGCAAAGUACAUUUUCUUUACGACCAAUGGAACCUGUUGGGUCAUUUAUUCUGGAGGGGGGAGCCAGUAAUGUGACACGUUGCCAGCCCAAAAAGGCACCAACUCAGCUUGAGCAGCAUGAGGAACUGGGCUCCUAUCCAGUCUGUUCGGGCAUGCAAGGUGCCAACAGAGAGCAUGGCAUAGGUGACAUAGAGAAGGGGUUGCCAUGCAUCUGAUGCAAGAAAGCCAGUGAGAGAGGGAAUUUGAAAACACCAUGCGAGUGCAAAGGAGAGCAGCAGAAGAAGAAUGGAAAGUGAAGUCAAUUCCCAAUGCCAAGACAAAUGCUAGUAAGCUAGCAACAGCCACCUUAAUGGUUAUGGAGUGGGCUUGAAAUGCAGAGUUUGGUUUAUUCUGGAACACUCCAAAUCAAUGAGGUAGUGAAGCAGGUUAUGAAUACAAGGUUAGAAGGGCGAGAAUGUGGUUAUGUGAAGUAGAAAUGUGAUUGUGUUGUUGGAGGUUGAUUCCAAAAAGUUGAAAGUAGCAUAGAGAAUAUGCAUGUUGUGUUAUGGAUACUUGAUUUAAAUCAGUUUGUAAUAAGAAGGGACAAAACCAAUGGACAGUGAGGCCACUGAAUUUCAUGGAGUAUUAAUGUUAAUAUCUACUCAUGACACACUUCGUCA